rnacentral:rRNA from 1 species
GACGUAGGGCGCGAGCGUUGUCCGGAUUUAUUGGGCGUAAAGAGCUCGUAGGCGGCUUGUCGCGUCGUCCGUGAAAACCAGGGGCUCAACCCCUGGCUUGCGGUCGAUACGGGCAGGCUAGAGUUCGGUAGGGGAGACUGGAAUUCCUGGUGUAGCGGUGAAAUGCGCAGAUAUCAGGAGGAACACCAGUGGCGAAGGCGGCUCACUGGCCCGAUACUGACGCUGAGGUGCGAAAGCGUGGGGAGCAAACAGG